rnacentral:rRNA from 1 species
UACGUAGGGAGCAAGCGUUGUCCGGAAUCAUUGGGCGUAAAGCGCGCGUAGGCGGCCCUGGUAAGUCCGCUUGUGAAAAGUCAAAGGCUCAACCUUUGAAUGUCAGCGGAUACUGCCAGGCUAGAGUCCGGAAGAGGCGAGUGGAACUCCUGGUGUAGCGGUGGAAUGCGCAGAUAUCAGGAGGGAACACCAAUAGCGAAGGCAGCUCGCUGGGACGGUACUGACGCUAAGGCGCGAAAGCGUGGGGAGCGAACAGG